CCCUUUUGGGGUUAAAACGGGAGAUGGUAGGUUGACUCACUGAUCACGAAAUCUCCGAAACUAUAACAGCUACAAACUUGAAAUUUGGCAAGUAGGUUUCUUAUAGGGCGUAGACAUCCGUUAAGAACGGAUUUUAUGAAACUCGACCCCUAAGGGGAUAAAACGGGGGUUGGAAGUUUGUAUGAAAGUCCUAUGUUUUUGAAGUAAGAGACUCGAAAUUUAAAAUGUAUGUUCUAUAGAUGGUGAGGAG
rnacentral:misc_RNA from 1 species